rnacentral:lncRNA from 1 species
CUUUUGUCUGAUAAACACUCAUUACGUUCGCAAUCUGCAGGUCUGCCUGAACUUUUCCAACAACCUGUAUAUGUACAAACAAGAAAUUUAUAACUUUAUAAGGAUUUUUCCAUUCGAAAAUAUUUUUAUUAGAUGCUACAUUUAAAAUUGUUCUAGUGAACACAAUAAAUUGAUAUACCUGCAAAGCUCUAGUGUGACAUCUAAUAAAAAUCUUUUUGAAUGGAAAAAUCAUUUUAAAUUCUUCAAUUAUUACAUGUUCCAAUGAUACUUGGGCAACUUUUAAUGAAUUUAUAAUUUACUUCUUAUCAAAAUUAAGAUGAACUCUUAAUUCAAAGAUAAAUGAUUUUAAGGUUUUGCAUAAAAAUAACAUGGGAAAAAAAUAAUUAUUAUUUCAUUCAAAUAACUCUUACUGCUGUAUAUUGUCUUAGGAGAAUCUAUUAGGUACACAUCAUUUUGUAGGUAAAUUCUCUAGCAAAAUGUACAGAUGGUCGAUUUUGUGAACUUUAUACAUAGUAAAAAUAUAUAAGCAAACAAGCUUUGGAAAUCAACAAUUAAUAAAAAAUCAUUACUGGCAAAAUAAAUAUCUGUUUAUUUAUGAUUUCCAUGAGUUGCAUUGUAAAAAUUAAAGACUACACAGUUCAUAAUGUUCUUCGAGUUGUAAACUUGCUGCUGUCAGUAUUCUCAGCCCUUGGUAGUAACAGAAUUUUGGCAAAUAGAUGAUGAUAAUAAUAAUAUAAUUACUUUUUAAACAUCAAAUAACACACAUAAAUAGAAUUCUCACAGUCAGAACAACAAGUGGUAUUAAAUAUGUUUAAUGAAAAAAUACACAUGGCUCUAAGUAGCAUUAGAAUUAACACAUGGCUCUGUCCUGUAAAUCGUAUCAUUAAAUCACUUCAAGCAGCUACUGCACAUGACUUCAUCCGCUAAUUUCAAAUGGAUAUCAGUUUAUAAUACUUUGUAAUAUGUGUACAUAACAGAUAAUGCAUGUAUGUAUUUAAAUACACUUUUUGUUUUUAGAGUUCUUAAAAUAAACACUUUAAAGUGUA